UAAGCGACUAAGCGUACACGGUGGAUGCCCUGGCAGUCAGAGGCGAUGAAGGACGUGCUAAUCUGCGAUAAGCGUCGGUAAGGUGAUAUGAACCGUUAUAACCGGCGAUUUCCGAAUGGGGAAACCCAGUGUGUUUCGACACACUAUCAUUAACUGAAUCCAUAGGUUAAUGAGGCGAACCGGGGGAACUGAAACAUCUAAGUACCCCGAGGAAAAGAAAUCAACCGAGAUUCCCCCAGUAGCGGCGAGCGAACGGGGAGCAGCCCAGAGCCUGAAUCAGUGUGUGUGUUAGUGGAAGCGUCUGGAAAGGCGCGCGAUACAGGGUGACAGCCCCGUACACAAAAAUGCACAUAUUGUGAGCUCGAUGAGUAGGGCGGGACACGUGGUAUCCUGUCUGAAUAUGGGGGGACCAUCCUCCAAGGCUAAAUACUCCUGACUGACCGAUAGUGAACCAGUACCGUGAGGGAAAGGCGAAAAGAACCCCGGCGAGGGGAGUGAAAAAGAACCUGAAACCGUGUACGUACAAGCAGUGGGAGCCUCUUUAUGGGGUGACUGCGUACCUUUUGUAUAAUGGGUCAGCGACUUAUAUUCUGUAGCAAGGUUAACCGAAUAGGGGAGCCGAAGGGAAACCGAGUCUUAACUGGGCGUUAAGUUGCAGGGUAUAGACCCGAAACCCGGUGAUCUAGCCAUGGGCAGGUUGAAGGUUGGGUAACACUAACUGGAGGACCGAACCGACUAAUGUUGAAAAAUUAGCGGAUGACUUGUGGCUGGGGGUGAAAGGCCAAUCAAACCGGGAGAUAGCUGGUUCUCCCCGAAAGCUAUUUAGGUAGCGCCUCGUGAAUUCAUCUCCGGGGGUAGAGCACUGUUUCGGCAAGGGGGUCAUCCCGACUUACCAACCCGAUGCAAACUGCGAAUACCGGAGAAUGUUAUCACGGGAGACACACGGCGGGUGCUAACGUCCGUCGUGAAGAGGGAAACAACCCAGACCGCCAGCUAAGGUCCCAAAGUCAUGGUUAAGUGGGAAACGAUGUGGGAAGGCCCAGACAGCCAGGAUGUUGGCUUAGAAGCAGCCAUCAUUUAAAGAAAGCGUAAUAGCUCACUGGUCGAGUCGGCCUGCGCGGAAGAUGUAACGGGGCUAAACCAUGCACCGAAGCUGCGGCAGCGACACUAUGUGUUGUUGGGUAGGGGAGCGUUCUGUAAGCCUGUGAAGGUGUGCUGUGAGGUAUGCUGGAGGUAUCAGAAGUGCGAAUGCUGACAUAAGUAACGAUAAAGCGGGUGAAAAGCCCGCUCGCCGGAAGACCAAGGGUUCCUGUCCAACGUUAAUCGGGGCAGGGUGAGUCGACCCCUAAGGCGAGGCCGAAAGGCGUAGUCGAUGGGAAACAGGUUAAUAUUCCUGUACUUGGUGUUACUGCGAAGGGGGGACGGAGAAGGCUAUGUUGGCCGGGCGACGGUUGUCCCGGUUUAAGCGUGUAGGCUGGUUUUCCAGGCAAAUCCGGAAAAUCAAGGCUGAGGCGUGAUGACGAGGCACUACGGUGCUGAAGCAACAAAUGCCCUGCUUCCAGGAAAAGCCUCUAAGCAUCAGGUAACAUCAAAUCGUACCCCAAACCGACACAGGUGGUCAGGUAGAGAAUACCAAGGCGCUUGAGAGAACUCGGGUGAAGGAACUAGGCAAAAUGGUGCCGUAACUUCGGGAGAAGGCACGCUGAUAUGUAGGUGAAGUCCCUUGCGGAUGGAGCUGAAAUCAGUCGAAGAUACCAGCUGGCUGCAACUGUUUAUUAAAAACACAGCACUGUGCAAACACGAAAGUGGACGUAUACGGUGUGACGCCUGCCCGGUGCCGGAAGGUUAAUUGAUGGGGUUAGCGGUAACGCGAAGCUCUUGAUCGAAGCCCCGGUAAACGGCGGCCGUAACUAUAACGGUCCUAAGGUAGCGAAAUUCCUUGUCGGGUAAGUUCCGACCUGCACGAAUGGCGUAAUGAUGGCCAGGCUGUCUCCACCCGAGACUCAGUGAAAUUGAACUCGCUGUGAAGAUGCAGUGUACCCGCGGCAAGACGGAAAGACCCCGUGAACCUUUACUAUAGCUUGACACUGAACAUUGAGCCUUGAUGUGUAGGAUAGGUGGGAGGCUUUGAAGUGUGGACGCCAGUCUGCAUGGAGCCGACCUUGAAAUACCACCCUUUAAUGUUUGAUGUUCUAACGUUGGCCCCUAAUCGGGGUUGCGGACAGUGUCUGGUGGGUAGUUUGACUGGGGCGGUCUCCUCCUAAAGAGUAACGGAGGAGCACGAAGGUUGGCUAAUCCUGGUCGGACAUCAGGAGGUUAGUGCAAUGGCAUAAGCCAGCUUGACUGCGAGCGUGACGGCGCGAGCAGGUGCGAAAGCAGGUCAUAGUGAUCCGGUGGUUCUGAAUGGAAGGGCCAUCGCUCAACGGAUAAAAGGUACUCCGGGGAUAACAGGCUGAUACCGCCCAAGAGUUCAUAUCGACGGCGGUGUUUGGCACCUCGAUGUCGGCUCAUCACAUCCUGGGGCUGAAGUAGGUCCCAAGGGUAUGGCUGUUCGCCAUUUAAAGUGGUACGCGAGCUGGGUUUAGAACGUCGUGAGACAGUUCGGUCCCUAUCUGCCGUGGGCGCUGGAGAACUGAGGGGGGCUGCUCCUAGUACGAGAGGACCGGAGUGGACGCAUCACUGGUGUUCGGGUUGUCAUGCCAAUGGCACUGCCCGGUAGCUAAAUGCGGAAGAGAUAAGUGCUGAAAGCAUCUAAGCACGAAACUUGCCCCGAGAUGAGUUCUCCCUGACCCUUUAAGGGUCCUGAAGGAACGUUGAAGACGACGACGUUGAUAGGCCGGGUGUGUAAGCGCAGCGAUGCGUUGAGCUAACCGGUACUAAUGAACCGUGAGGCUUAACCUUA
rnacentral:rRNA from 1 species